rnacentral:rRNA from 1 species
UACGUAGGGUCCGAGCGUUGUCCGGAAUUAUUGGGCGUAAAGGGCUCGUAGGCGGUCUGUUGCGUCGGGAGUGAAAACUUACAGCUUAACUGUGAGCGUGCUUCCGAUACGGGCAGACUUGAGGUAUUCAGGGGAGAACGGAAUUCCUGGUGUAGCGGUGAAAUGCGCAGAGUAUCAGGAGGAACACCGGUGGCGAAGGCGGUUCUCUGGGAAUAUCCUGACGCUGAGGAGCGAAAGUGUGGGGAGCGAACAGG